UACGGAGGAUGCAAGCGUUAUCCGGAAUCAUUGGGCGUAAAGCGUCCGUAGGUGGCUUUUCAAGUCUGCUGUUAAAGCACAAGGCUUAACCUUGUAAAGGCGGUGGAAACUGAAAGGGCUAGAGUGCGGUAGGGGUAGAGGAAUUCCCAGUGUAGCGGUGAAAUGCGUAGAGAUUGGGAAGAACACCGGUGGCGAAAGCGCUCUACUGGGCCUGCACUGACAGCUGAGGGACGAAAGCUAGGGGAGCGAAAGGGAUUAAGAUACCCUA
rnacentral:rRNA from 1 species